UACUAGCUGUCCGAGUCGCAGCCACAAUUAUUGGGUCUAGAACAUCCGUAGCUUGCUAAAUAAGUUCCCUGUGAAAUCCUGUCUCUUAAGGGCAGGGCGCGCAAGGAGUACUGUCUAGCUAGAGACUGGGAGACGUAAGAAGUACGUUCAAAGUAGUGGUAAAAUACGUUAAUCUUGGACGGACUAACAACAGCGAAGGCAUCUUACGAGAACAGUUCUGACAGUAAGGGAUGAAGGCUAGGAGC
rnacentral:rRNA from 1 species